AAGUCGUAACAAGGUUUCCGUAGGUGAACCUGCGGAAGGAUCAUUAAUUAGUUACACGGGGGCGCAUCCGUGCGUCCCCCGGCAACUUCCAACCUCUGUUAAUCAGUAACCGAAUUACAACUAUCUUUGGCGGGGCGCGGCGAGAGCCGCCUCGGGCCCGCUUAACACCGGGUCGGGGAGCUCCCCGCCAAAGAGACCCUGAACAAUCAAUGAAUCUGAACUUCAAGAAAAUUUAAACAAAA
rnacentral:misc_RNA from 1 species